rnacentral:rRNA from 1 species
CCUACGGGAGGCAGCAGUGGGGAAUAUUGCACAAUGGGGGAAACCCUGAUGCAGCGACGCCGCGUGAGUGAAGAAGUAUUUCGGUAUGUAAAGCUCUAUCAGCAGGGAAGAAAAUGACGGUACCUGAUUAAGAAGCCCCGACUAACUACGUGCCAGCCGCCGCGGUAAUACGUAGGGGGCAAGCGUUAUCCGGAUUUACUGGGUGUGAAGGGAGCGUAGACGGCAGCACAAGUCUGGAGUGAAAUGCCGGGGCUUAACCCCGGAACUGCUUUGGAAACUGUGCAGCUAGAGUGCAGGAGAGGUAAGUGGAAUUCCUAGUGUAGCGGUGAAAUGCGUAGAUAUUAGGAGGAACACCAGUGGCGAAGGCGGCUUACUGGACUGUAACUGACGUUGAGGCUCGAAAGCGUGGGGAGCAAACAGGAUUAGAUACCCUUGUAGUC